rfam:Schistosoma haematobium scaffold806_6, whole genome shotgun sequence.
AUCCCACGACACCGGCGGUACAUAUACUGAAAUUGGAACGAUACAGAGAAGAUUAGCAUGGCCCCUGCGCAAGGAUGACACGCAAAAUCGUGAAGCGUUCCAUAUUUUU